AUGCUCAUUUUGGCAGCACAUAUACUAAAAUUGGAACGAUAUAGAGAUUAGUAUGGCCCCUGAGCAAGGAUGACACGCAAAUUUGUGAAGCAUUCCUUUUCUUU
rnacentral:snRNA from 1 species